AAUUGCGGCAGGAGUGGGUGGGGGUCACAGAGAAGAAGAGAGAGAAUAUGCCUGGAGCUUUGUUGCUAUACAUAAUGCAGUUGUGAUCUGCCAUAAGUACCCCACUCAGCCAGAAGCUAUCACUAUUGCAGAGGGGGUGGGCAGGAGGGUGCUCUUAAACCACUGCACUUUCCCCUGGGCAUCAGUGAGCUCGUUGUUGCUGAUGGCCAGUUUUGGGCUAAGCUCUUAACAUUAUGGAACCCCUUACAUCACCUCUCACUGCAUUAUAAAACUGGCGUCUAGGCCCUGACUCCAGGCACUCCACACUUGUCCUCUGUGCUUGUUUGCAGUUGUUCCCCUAAGUUCCCUGCUCAAGGAGCAAAGAGGCUGUGUGAAGACAUAAGCAUGAUGAUCACAUUCCGGACCGCAGUGUUCUCAGAGAAAAAGCCUGGCCCAGGAGGAGGGCCCCCGGUGCCCGGGAAGGCACACAGUGGGGUGCGCUGGCCUUUGGGCCAGCCCCCUACCACCACCACGAAGGCACCUGGGAGGUGGGCCCCCAGCACCCAGGAAUCCGUGUGGCGGCGCAUGCCAGUCCUCAAACCAGCUGCCACCGCACAAUUGAGAACUAUCACUGCACAGAGAAGCAAUGACACAAUUGGCCCACCAUGCACCAGCUGUGGAGGCCCGCCCAUGAACGUGUAUGAAUCAUUCCAACAUGGAGAAACCCCUGGGAAUACAUGCCAUACAACAGGUUGCUCUUGCCCAUGCCGUUGAGAACCAGAAAGGUCCAGAGUCAGUGGAGGAUCAGCUGCUGAACAAGGACUCGCAGAACAUGAGAAUACAGACUAAGCCCGAUGAGUCAGAGGUCUACUUGACUGGGGUCACGAGAGCUGUUCAGAAGCUGGAAACCAGGAAGACCUUGUGCAAUACCUGGGGAGACUACCUGGAAGCCAUUCUUCCCCUGACAGUACAGGCUGCAGUGGAGGAGCACAUGGAGCUCCAGAGAGGUCUGCACUGAGAUUCCU
rnacentral:lncRNA from 1 species